rnacentral:rRNA from 1 species
GACGAACGCUGGCGGCGUGCUUAACACAUGCAAGUCGAACGGAAAGGCCUCUUUCGGGGGGUACUCGAGUGGCGAACGGUUGAGUAACACGUGAGUAACCUGCCCUUGACUUUGGGAUAACUUCAGGAAACUGGGGCUAAUACCGGAUAGGAGCUCCUGCUGCAUGGUGGGGGUUGGAAAGUUUCGGCGGUUGGGGAUGGACUCGCGGCUUAUCAGCUUGUUGGUGGGGUAGUGGCUUACCAAGGCUUUGACGGGUAGCCGGCCUGAGAGGGUGACCGGCCACAUUGGGACUGAGAUACGGCCCAGACUCCUACGGGAGGCAGCAGUGGGGAAUAUUGCACAAUGGGUGGAAGCCUGAUGCAGCAACGCCGUGUGCGGGAUGACGGCCUUCGGGUUGUAAACCGCUUUCGCUCAUGACGAAGCUUUGUGUGACGGUAGUGGGUAAAGAAGCACCGGCUAACUACGUG